rnacentral:lncRNA from 1 species
UAUUAUUUAAAUUCAUAGAGAGUUUUAAGGUUUGCAGUGAACUUUUUCUCAUAAUAACCUUAUGAUGUAUUAUUAUUCCUAUUUUACAGAUCAGAAAUCUGAUGCUCUGAGAAGCUAAGUAACAGAUUAUAUGACUUGCCCAAGGUCACACAAUUACUAAGUAGAACUGAGAUUCAAAAUUCUGUCAAGCUUUUCUGAAGGCUGCAACAGAGGUUGUUUCAGACAUUUGGGUCAGCCAGUGCAAAUGUCCGCAGACGACAGAUAACUGAAUGGUGUUUCCAGCCUUGGCAGCAACCUUCUGAGAGCAAGAAGUUGGAAAAUCCCAUGUCCAAAUGCUGCUUAUCCAAUAGAUCAUCUUUCAUUCCUAAAAUGAUCACUUCUGCUUCUUGGAACCCUUAGCUCCCUUCAAAACACAAGUGCCUCUUUCUUCAGAAAGAAACUGAAGAAAAAUUUCUUCAGUUUUUAAUGGCAGCUCCCCUGCCCAUCAAUUUCUGUAUAUUUAUUUAAAAUAAAUUAUCUAUUUCCUU